UGGGGAAUAUUGGACAAUGGGGGAAACCCUGAUCCAGCAAUGCCGCGUGAGUGAAGAAGGCCUUAGGGUUGUAAAGCUCUUUCGCCCGCGAAGAUAAUGACGGUAGCGGGAGAAGAAGCCCCGGCUAACUCCGUGCCAGCAGCCGCGGUAAUACGGAGGGGGCUAGCGUUGUUCGGAAUUACUGGGCGCAAAGCGUACGUAGGCGGAUGCGCAAGUUGGGGGUGAAAUCCCGGGGCUUAACCUCGGAAUUGCCCUCAAAACUGCACGGCUUGAGACCGAGAGAGGUAAGGGGAAUUCCUAGUGUAGAGGUGAAAUUCGUAGAUAUUAGGAAGAACACCAGUGGCGAAGGCGCCUUACUGGCUCGGUACUGACGCUGAGGUACGAAAGCGUGGGGAGCAAACA
rnacentral:rRNA from 1 species